GACAGAGGGUGCAAACGUUGUUCGGAAUUACUGGGCGUAAAGCGCGUGUAGGCUGCUCGGAAAGUCGGAUGUGAAAGCCCUGGGCUCAACCUAGGAAGUGCAUUCGAAACUUCCGAGCUGGAGUGCUGGAGAGGAAGGCGGAAUUCUCGGUGUAGAGGUGAAAUUCGUAGAUAUCGAGAGGAGCACCGGUGGCGAAGGCGGCCUUCUGGACAGCCACUGACGCUGAGACGCGAAAGCGUGGGGAGCAAACAGG
rnacentral:rRNA from 1 species